rnacentral:lncRNA from 1 species
GUAAUCUCAGCACUUUGGGAAGCCGAGACGAGCGGAUCACGAGAGACGGGGUUUCACCAUGUUAGCCAGGAUGGUCUCGAUCUCCUGACUUCGAGAUCCACCCACCUCGGCCUCCCAAAGUGCUGGGAUUACAGGCAUGAGCCACCACACCCGGCGACUCAUUCUUAUACAACUACCUUUGUCAGCAUUCUUGCCAUUGGACUGUCUAGCCCUUGAUGCUGUUAUAUCAUGGCUUGUUGAUACAGAAGAUGCUACAUGAACUCAAGUGGAACUCUGACUGCCUUGAGAGCAUCCCACCAUCCAUUGCUGCUGCAUCAAGGUAUUAAAAAGAGAGACAGAAGGAAGAGAAUGUUUGUCAAAUGUCUUCUUUGGGCACCUCACAGGGCCAGGCACAAGGGGAAGGGGUAUUUGCAGCUGACUUCAAUCCAAAGCUGAAUGUGGAUGUUGGCACCUGCUGCUCCCUCUCUCCAGACAUCUCCCUGUAUCUUUGCUUAUUUGGUUUCAUAUUUAUUGACCAUCAACCACCCCCCAUCCCUGUAGAACGAGAAGCUCAUGAGAACAGGGGUCUUGUUCUCUAGCUUUUGUUUCUCCACCGAGAAGAGUGCCUGGAAACAGAGUCAAUGCUCAAUAAACAUUUAUGGAACAAAAAAAAAAAAAAA